rnacentral:rRNA from 1 species
UACGGGGGGAGCAAGCGUUGUUCGGAUUUACUGGGCGUAAAGGGCGCGUAGGCGGGCGCAACAAGUCACUUGUGAAAUCUCCGGGCUUAACUCGGAACGGUCAAGUGAUACUGUUGUGCUAGAGUGCGGAAGGGGCAACUGGAAUUCUCGGUGUAGCGGUGAAAUGCGUAGAUAUCGAGAGGAACACCUGCGGCGAAGGCGGCUACCUGGCCCAAUACUGACACUCAGGUGCGACAGCGUGGGGAGCAAACAGG